CUUCCCAUUUGACUACCACUCCUUCAAUUUACAGAUUGAGUGGCUAUGCUUAUGGGGUACAGAAAAUACUGCCAAGGUCUGAAGGAGAAGAUUGACAAUAUCUUUUUCCUAUAUGAAAUGGCAGAACACAAUGAA
ensembl:snoRNA